AUACGAAGGGGGCUAGCGUUGUUCGGAUUUACUGGGCGUAAAGCGCACGUAGGCGGAUUGAUUAGUUAGGGGUGAAAUCCCGAGGCUCAACCUCGGAACUGCCUUUAAUACUGUCAAUCUCGAGACCGGAAGAGGUGAGUGGAACUCCUAGUGUAGAGGUGGAAUUCGUAGAUAUUAGGAAGAACACCAGGGCGAAGGCGGCUCACUGGUCCGGUACUGACGCUGAGGUGCGAAAGCGUGGGGAGCGAACAGGAUUAGAAACCCUAGUAGUCC
rnacentral:rRNA from 1 species